rnacentral:rRNA from 1 species
CGGGUGCACUGAUCCGGCCGGGCCUUUCCCUCUGUGGAACCCCAUGGCCUUCACUGGCUGUGCGGGGGAAACAGGACUUUUACUGUGAAAAAAUUAGAGUGCUCCAGGCAGGCCUAUGCUCGAAUACAUUAGCAUGGAAUAAUAGAAUAGGACGCGUGGUUCUAUUUUGUUGGUUUCUAGGACCGCCGUAAUGAUUAAUAGGGACAGUCGGGGGCAUCAGUAUUCAAUUGUCAGAGGUGAAAUUCUUGGAUCUAUUGAAGACUAACUACUGCGAAAGCAUUUGCCAAGGAUGUUUUCAUUGAUAAGGAACGAAAGUUAGGGGAUCGAAGACGAUCAGAUACCGUCGUAGUCUUAACUAUAAACUAUGCCGACUAGGGAUCGGACGAUGUUAUUUCUUGACGCGUUCGGCACCUUUCGAGAAAUCAAAGUGCUUGGGCUCCAGGGGGAGUAUGGUCGCAAGGCUGAAACUUAAAGAAAUUGACGGAAGGGCACCACCAGGGGUGGAACCUGCGGCUUAAUUUGACUCAACACGGGGAAACUCACCAGGUCCAGACACAGUGAGGAUUGACAGAUUGAGAGCUCUUUCUUGAUUCUGUGGGUGGUGGUGCAUGGCCGUUCUUAGUUGGUGGAGUGAUUUGUCUGCUUAAUUGCGAUAACGAACGAGACCUUUAACCUGCUAAAUAGCCCGUACUGCUCUGGCAGUUCGCCGGCUUCUUAGAGGGACUAUCGG